rnacentral:lncRNA from 1 species
CAAAGAUUACAGCAGUCAGUAUUCAUCCUUAUGCCCUAGAGAUUUAGUAGUAUGGUCUUAAUUGUGCUAUCUUGGUCUUAAUUUGUGCUAUCAAUAAUUCUUAUUUUCUCAAAAUGAUGUUAGUGUUUUUUGUUUCUAUUUUUCCUGUAGGAUAGAUUCUUUUUGACUUGGUGAAUUGUUGGCAGUAGAAACAUUACAAGAGUUCAAAGGGAAGGAAGUGUUUGGGUCUGAUCAGAUUUCCCCUUUAACGCGGGCACAGGCAGGCACCAAUCGCAGAGCUGGCAUCUUUGCAAAGGAAAGGUGGAUGCUCUGACUGGGAGGAAGUGAGCUUUAUUGACACCAGCAAGAUCUGGUUUCUUCACAACCAUGAAAUCAUAUAGUUUAAAAAAAACAAAAGGUAAACCUAGUCCUCUUCCUAAAUGAAUAAGUAAUAGGAUUUAUAAACUUU